rnacentral:sRNA from 1 species
AACGAAGUCUGGGCUACCGGCGCCGCGUAGUGGAUGCAGCAUCCUAGUUGAGGACGCCCCUCUGAUCUGCCCUCCUUGGCACUGUGCUUCCCCAGAGGGGUGGCCUCGCUGUUCCCAUGGACGUGGCCCAGGAGCCGGUGACCUUCAGGGACGUGGCCAUCUACUUCUCAAGGGAGGAGUGGGCGUGUCUGGAACCCAGCCAGAGGGCCCUCUACCGGGACGUGAUGCUGGACAACUUCAGCAGUGUGGCUGCUCUGGGAUUUUGCAGCCCCAGACCAGACCUCGUCUCUCGCCUGGAACAGUGGGAAGAGCCGUGGGUUGAAGACCGGGAGAGACCUGAGCUCCAGGCAGUGCAGAGAGGGCCCCAGCCAGGUGAGUGCCGGGCUGUCUGGGCUCAGCUGGCCCCGUCCCUGUGGCCCACAGCUCCUGGGUGAGUGCUCAGCACGCUGCAGUGACCGAGGGUAUGUCCUUCCCAUGGGAGAGCAGACACACAGCCGCUCUCUAAAUUAGACAGGCAUUAGAGAUGCAGGGGCGGCCACGCUCCUGCCCUGAUGGACACUGGCCGGGGGCGGGG